GACGAACGCUGGCGGCGUGCUUAACACAUGCAAGUCGAACGGAAAGGCCCUGCUUGCCGGGUACUCGAGUGGCGAACGGGUGAGUAACACGUGGGUGAUCUGCCCUGCACUUCGGGAUAAGCCUGGGAAACUGGGUCUAAUACCGGAUAGGAGCCAUUUUUAGUGCGAUGGUUGGAAAGUUUUUUCGGUGUAGGAUGAGCUCGCGGCCUAUCAGCUUGUUGGUGGGGUAAUGGCCUACCAAGGCGGCGACGGGUAGCCGGCCUGAGAGGGUGGACGGCCACAUUGGGACUGAGAUACGGCCCAGACUCCUACGGGAGGCAGCAGUGGGGAAUAUUGCACAAUGGGCGCAAGCCUGAUGCAGCGACGCCGCGUGGGGGAUGACGGCCUUCGGGUUGUAAACUCCUUUCGCUAGGGACGAAGCUUUUUGUGACGGUACCUAGAUAAGAAGCACCGGCUAACUACGUG
rnacentral:rRNA from 1 species